rnacentral:rRNA from 1 species
CAUUACCGAGUUUACAACUCCCAAACCCAAUGUGAACGUUACCAAACUGUUGCCUCGGCGGGAUCUCUGCCCCGGGUGCGUCGCAGCCCCGGACCAAGGCGCCCGCCGGAGGACCAACCAAAACUCUUUUGUAUACCCCCUCGCGGGUUUUUUAUAUCUGAGCCAUCUCGGCGCCUCUCGUAGGCGUUUCGAAAAUGAAUCAAAACUUUCAACAACGGAUCUCUUGGUUCUGGCAUCGAUGAAGAACGCAGCGAAAUGCGAUAAGUAAUGUGAAUUGCAGAAUUCAGUGAAUCAUCGAAUCUUUGAACGCACAUUGCGCCCGCCAGUAUUCUGGCGGGCAUGCCUGUCCGAGCGUCAUUUCAACCCUCGAACCCCUCCGGGGGGUCGGCGUUGGGGAUCGGCCCUUUACGGGGCCGGCCCCGAAAUACAGUGGCGGUCUCGCCGCAGCCUCUCCUGCGCAGUAGUUUGCACACUCGCAUCGGGAGCGCGGCGCGUCCAUUGCCGUAAAACACCCAACUUUCUGAAAUGUUGACCUCGGAUCAGGUAGGAAUACCCGCUGAACUUAAGCAUAUCAAUAAGCGGAGGAAAAGAAACCAACAGGGAUUGCCCCAGUAACGGCGAGUGAAGCGGCAACAGCUCAAAUUUGAAAUCUGGCCCCUCGGGGUCCGAGUUGUAAUUUGUAGAGGAUGCUUUUGGUGAGGUGCCGCCCGAGUUCCCUGGAACGGGACGCCACAGAGGGUGAGAGCCCCGUCUGGCUGGCCACCGAGCCUCUGUAAAGCUCCUUCGACGAGUCGAGUAGUUUGGGAAUGCUGCUCAAAAUGGGAGGUAUAUGUCUUCUAAAGCUA